rnacentral:lncRNA from 1 species
UUUAACUUUUUAUUAAGAAACUAAAGCAAAACGACAGAAUUUCAAAAAAAUUAAAAUACAGAAUUCUAAUUUUAAUUCUAAACAAAUAUGAAAUCUACACCAAAAACUAAAUAAGUAUAUCAAUAUUUAAGAAUAAAGGGGAAUGGCUAAAAUGCAUUCACAGUCAUUAUUUCUUCCUUAUUAGCCUUAGAUUUCUAUUCCGUUCCUUCGUGCUUCAUUUCAACACGAUACAGAAUUUCUUUCCCACCUAUCUUUUGUUAUGGUAAUUUCAGAGCAGCUUUAGUCUCCCUACAUAAUUUCCUUCAGCAUCUUUGUGAGCACCUGCCUACUGGGCUUAGAUGAUAUGGGCAUAAAGAUGAGUCCAUCAGAGAUCCUGUCCUAAGAUGUUGAGAGGAGAUAAGACACCAACAAAUAAUAAAUAUAAAUAAAUAUAUACAAGGUAUAAAGUAAUAUAGCAUGAGUUAAGUUAAAUAUAAAAAUAGGGAAAUUUCAAGGAAGCAAAGAUUACAUUCAGCUAGAUAAAUCAGGAAUGCUUUAUGAGGGUAGUAUUUGGAUUGGUUAUGGACUGUUCCUUCCAGGAGGGCUUCAGAGUGGUCCUGAUGGUGACAGUCUUGGUUUCCAGAAAGUAAUUCUUAAAACUCUUUACAUUUCUAGUUCUUCAAAACUUUUUAUCUUUUUAAAAAGAUCAAAAAAUAUUAGCAUUAUAGUCUAUAUAAACAGCAGUUUGGGAACUUAAAUUAAAAAGUAAUUGUAAUACCUUUUAUAUGAUUUAGGGCUGUUAUUUUCUCAACUCUCUUUCCCAGGUCAAAUCAUAUCUAAAAGACAGAAGAUGCCUAAUCACUGAGCCGCGAAUUUAAGUAUUCAACCAGGCAAUACCGACUUGCUUUAGGUGCUUUAUAAAAUCUAUACCUAAACCUACAUAGGAAUGAAGAUGAAAUAAAUGGCUUAACAUUCAAGUCAGAUAAUGAAAAAAAUAAUGGCAACUAUGAAAUGAUAUUAACCACAGAACUCCUUGUACGAAAAGUUUUAAUGAAUUGUGAGCCAUUGGCCAUUACAGACUUUAAGCCUCAAUAUUUCUUCCCUAUGUAGAACCAAAUAAUUAAAACAGCCUAUCUCAAGUUUAACAGAAAACCAUAGUAUGAAUAGUAAUAGUCUGUUUACACAUCUGCAUGCUUCGCUAAAGAACCGAAGAGAAUGCUCCCAGUUUCCCAAGUCAACAAAGUAAAUUCAAUUACACAUUUUUCUUUCCUGAUCAUAGUUUUAGUUGAAAUACAACUAAUACUGUUUUGCCUUUCAAUUGCACAUUUUAUCCAGCAUACAAGUAUUUUUCCCAUUAUUUUCUCCUUUGCCCUCAAUAUGCUUGUGAGGUAGUGAAGGGAGGGAGCAAGGAUUUUUUUUUUUUUAAUUUUGCAGAUGAGAAAACUUAAGGUGAAUUUAAAACUCAACCUUAGCAGCAUACUGAAAUCACCCAGGAAGUUUAAAAAAAUCCUUAUGAUCAUAUCAUACCCCAGACUAACAUCAGAAUUUUAGGAUACAUCAAUAUUUUUCAAAAUGCACAUGACUCCAAAGCUAAGUGUGAGAAUCACUGGUUUAGAAGAUUUAUACUUAACCUUCAGGUACAACUGUAUUCUACUUGAAAGCUCUCUCAGUAUCAACAAGAGAUUCCUUUUCCUUAAACAUUGUAACAGUUUAAUAUUCUCUAUACAACUACUAUUGGUCUCCAGUAAUAAAAUAAUCAGGUUAUAAAUGAAGGCUCUUGAUUCCCCUGAUGUUUAUUCUAAAUAUGAACCUCCAUUUUAUAAAAUCUGCAAAUAGCAUAUUAGAGAAUUUAAGUCUUUGAGAUAAGAAUGGCUUGUUGUUAAAUACUUAGGCAAUUAUUUGAUUCUAGGUUCAAUGUGCAAUAACCAUGUGUUUCUGUUUUCCAUUCAGCACCUUCCAAACUUUGUAACAAAUGAAUGUUAUACUAAUAGGACAAAACAGAAGUUAUAAACAAAACUCAGCAAAAGCUCUUGGAAUUGGCUAUAUCACAACACCCUGAAAAAACACCAAGCACAUAAGGGACUUCAUUGUUUCAUCAUUUAUCAAUCUGCAUCCUGAAUCAGUUCUUUUCUUCAAAUUUUAAACUUUGCCAAAUUGAGUUGUUCUACACCAAGAAAAAUCAAUUUCUGUAGCAGCUAUAUUCUCUAAUACAUUUAACAUAUAAUUUCACUCUGUACUACUAAAUAUGGUUUCCAGGAGGGUUCUUUUUGACAUGGAUAUUAAAAAGGAUCUUUAACAGAUUUUGCUUUUAAGCAACAUACCAAAUACACAAUAAAUAUUUGUAAACCUGUCAGGUGGCAAAAAUAGAUCUUUGUUCAUGACUGAAAUUCCCUGCUUCAUAAGAAUAUUGAUAAUCUUAACUCUCAAGGAGCAACCCAAAAGCCCCAGCCAGCUGCUUGCUGUCCCUAAUUUGAUUAGAUUUAAAACAAAAUUACACACAGCAAUAAGCUCAAAGGCAAAGAUUAUACCUGCCUUAGUCAAUUCUUAUCACAAAGAUGUAUCUGAAACCAUGUAUUUAUAUACUUUCAUACAGAAAGAUGAUGGUUGUUUCUCUUAUAAAAGAAAAUCUCAGCUCAUAUAUGUUAUUAAUUCAAG